AGAGUUUGAUCCUGGCUCAGGACGAACGCUGGCGGCGCGCCUAACACAUGCAAGUCGAACGAGCGAGAGAGAGCUUGCUUUCUCAAGCGAGUGGCGAACGGGUGAGUAACGCGUGAGGAACCUGCCUCAAAGAGGGGGACAACAGUUGGAAACGACUGCUAAUACCGCAUAAGCCCACAGCUCGGCAUCGAGCAGAGGGAAAAGGAGCAAUCCGCUUUGAGAUGGCCUCGCGUCCGAUUAGCUAGUUGGUGAGGUAACGGCCCACCAAGGCGACGAUCGGUAGCCGGACUGAGAGGUUGAACGGCCACAUUGGGACUGAGACACGGGCCAGACUCCUACGGGAGGCAGCAGUGGGGAAUAUUGCACAAUGGGGGAAACCCUGAUGCAGCGACGCCGCGUGGAGGAAGAAGGUCUUCGGAUUGUAAACUCCUGUUGUUGAGGAAGAUAAUGACGGUACUCAACAAGGAAGUGACGGCUAACUACGUGCCAGCAGCCGCGGUAAAACGUAGGUCACAAGCGUUGUCCGGAAUUACUGGGUGUAAAGGGAGCGCAGGCGGGAAAGCAAGUUGGAAGUGAAAUCCAUGGGCUAACCCAUGAACUGCUUUCAAAACUGUUUUUCUUGAGUAGUGCAGAGGUAGGCGGAAUUCCCGGUGUAGCGGUGGAAUGCGUAGAUAUCGGGAGGAACACCAGUGGCGAAGGCGGCCUACUGGGCACCAACUGACGCUGAGGGCUCGAAAGUGUGGGUAGCAAACAGGAUUAGAUACCCUGGUAGUCCACACUGUAAACGAUGAUUACUAGGUGUUGGAGGAUUGACCCCUUCAGUGCCGCAGUUAACACAAUAAGUAAUCCACCUGGGGAGUACGACCGCAAGGUUGAAACUCAAAGGAAUUGACGGGGGCCCGCACAAGCAGUGGAGUAUGUGGUUUAAUUCGACGCAACGCGAAGAACCUUACCAAGUCUUGACAUCCUGCGACGGUGCUGGAAACAGUACUUUCCUUCGGGACGCAGAGACAGGUGGUGCAUGGUUGUCGUCAGCUCGUGUCGUGAGAUGUUGGGUUAAGUCCCGCAACGAGCGCAACCCUUAUGGUCAGUUACUACGCAAGAGGACUUUGGCCAGACUGCCGUUGACAAAACGGAGGAAGGUGGGGAUGACGUCAAAUCAUCAUGCCCUUUAUGACUUGGGCUACACACGUACUACAAUGGCGUUAAACAAAGAGAAGCGAGACCGCGAGGUGGAACAAAACUCAGAAACAACGUCCCAGCUCCGACUGCAGGCUGCAACUCGCCUGCACGAAGUCGGAAUUGCUAGUAAUCGCAGAUCAGCGUGCUGCGGUGAAUACGUUCCCGGCGCCUUGUACACACCGCCCGUC
rnacentral:rRNA from 1 species